rnacentral:lncRNA from 1 species
AGCUGUCAUCAGUCCGCCAUUGUUUAGACUCCGGAGCAGAAUGGCUCCUAAGAGAUUGAGGUGUUCGGUUGUUGGAUGUAAUAAUGAACAGCAGUCGUCAUUUACUCCCGACAUCUGAGCCGCUGAAGACACAGUGGAUUACGUUUGUUUUUGAAGGGAAUGCGCACCCAAUCUACAUCAAUGUGUCUGUUUGCGCAAAUCAUUUGUGAUCCAGCUUCACCUACAGAAGAAGUGAGUAUAAGGGGUUUUUAUGCAUCUUUGCAAAUCACCUUUCUUAAUAACAUGCUAGUUAGCAAGUUCCGCGGCUAAAGUAAACAGUCUCAUGAGAACGGCUCAUCACCCCACGGAAGAGAGGGGCGGGGUCAGCAGAGCUCAUUAGCAUUUAAAGAAACAAAACGGGUUGCUGAAAACAGCUGAUUUCGACAGGGUAAAAAGGGUGUUGUUUUACACUACCAUUGAGAAAUUUUAACCAAAGUAUGUUAUAGACUUUUCAUUAAGGCACUGAAGAAUCAUAUCAACAUCUGAUGACCCCAUUAAAACUUUCAGUGAAUGAACGUGUGGUGGCCAGUCAUUCAAUGUGUUUUCUGUUCAUCUUGGUGUUGCUGUGCAGGGUUUAGUGUACACAAACACUGAUGUUGAGGAGGUUCACGACUGGAUCGUCAAACACUUCAGCGAUCAUCCUCUCUUCUGCAGAGUGUCUGAUGAAGAACUGGCUGAUGACCUCAUCAUUAGCCAUCUGGGAACAUGUACGGAGGAGGGAAAGAAGGUUCAGAGAAACGGAGGCAAGAAUUUCUUAGCAGUUUUCCGCAGAGUGGAAGAUCCUCAAACGUGACGCUCCUCGAAUGAAGCCGUCGCUCUGUAAUUGCUUCUAUUUCCGAUGAUUUGAUUAACAGCAAGCAAAAUGUUAUUUACGAAUGUGAAUAAACACUGUUCUUGACAUUUUCUUUAUAUUAAAUGUUUAUUAUAUUAAGUGCCUCUCUCUGUUUCGUGUCUGAACUAUUUAUUUUCAUAUGGAUACACAAACGCAUACUUUAUGAUCCUUUUGAGUUUGCUGAACACAUCGAGUCAG